rnacentral:rRNA from 1 species
GAUGAACGCUGGCGGCGUGCCUAAUACAUGCAAGUCGAGCGAACGGACGAGAAGCUUGCUUCUCUGAUGUUAGCGGCGGACGGGUGAGUAACACGUGGAUAACCUACCUAUAAGACUGGGAUAACUUCGGGAAACCGUAGCUAAUACCGGAUAAUAUUUUGAACCGCAUGGUUCAAAAGUGAAAGACGGUCUUGCUGUCACUUAUAGAUGGAUCCGCGCUGCAUUAGCUAGUUGGUAAGGUAACGGCUUACCAAGGCAACGAUGCAUAGCCGACCUGAGAGGGUGAUCGGCCACACUGGAACUGAGACACGGUCCAGACUCCUACGGGAGGCAGCAGUAGGGAAUCUUCCGCAAUGGGCGAAAGCCUGACGGAGCAACGCCGCGUGAGUGAUGAAGGUCUUCGGAUCGUAAAACUCUGUUAUUAGGGAAGAACAUAUGUGUAAGUAACUGUGCACAUCUUGAUGGUACCUAAUCAGAAAGCCACGGCUAACUACGUG